rnacentral:rRNA from 1 species
GAUGAACGCUAGCGGCAGGCCUAACACAUGCAAGUCGAGGGGCAUCGCGGUGCAGCAAUGCACUGGCGGCGACCGGCGUACGGGUGCGUAACGCGUAUGCAACCUGCCCCGCACCGGGGGAUAGCCCGCCGAAAGGCGGAUUAAUACCCCAUGGUCCCGGGGGCCCGCAUGGGCAUCCGGGUAAAGCCUUGGCGGUGCGGGAUGGGCAUGCGUGCCAUUAGCUGGCUGGUGGGGUAACGGCCCACCAGGGCAACGAUGGCUAGGGGGUCUGAGAGGAUGGUCCCCCACACUGAUACUGAGACACGGACCAGACUCCUACGGGAGGCAGCAGUGAGGAAUAUUGGUCAAUGGGCGGAAGCCUGAACCAGCCAUGCCGCGUGCGGGAUGAAGGCCCUACGGGUUGUAAACCGCUUUUCCCCGGGAAGAAUAAGCCCCCCGCGGGGGGUGAUGCCGGUACCGGGGGAAUAAGGAUCGGCUAACUCCGUG